UACGUAGGGUGCGAGCGUUAAUCGGAAUUACUGGGCGUAAAGAGUGCGCAGGCGGCCGCGCAAGUCGAGUGUGAAAGCCCCGGGCUUAACUUGGGAAUUGCGCUCGAAACUACGUGGCUGGAGUGUGGCAGAGGAAGGUGGAAUUCCACGUGUAGCGGUGAAAUGCGUAGAGAUGUGGAGGAACACCAAUGGCGAAGGCAGCCUUCUGGGCCAACACUGACGCUCAUGCACGAAAGCGUGGGGAGCAAACAGG
rnacentral:rRNA from 1 species